AUUGAACGCUGGCGGCAUGCCUUACACAUGCAAGUCGAACGGUAACGCGGGGCAACCUGGCGACGAGUGGCGAACGGGUGAGUAAUGUAUCGGAACGUGCCCAGUAGUGGGGGAUAGCCCGGCGAAAGCCGGAUUAAUACCGCAUACGACCUAAGGGUGAAAGCGGGGGAUCGCAAGACCUCGCGCUAUUGGAGCGGCCGAUAUCAGAUUAGCUAGUUGGUGGGGUAAAAGCCUACCAAGGCGACGAUCUGUAGCUGGUCUGAGAGGACGACCAGCCACACUGGGACUGAGACACGGCCCAGACUCCUACGGGAGGCAGCAGUGGGGAAUUUUGGACAAUGGGCGCAAGCCUGAUCCAGCCAUGCCGCGUGCGGGAAGAAGGCCUUCGGGUUGUAAACCGCUUUUGUCAGGGAAGAAAAGCCUCGAACUAAUACUUUGGGGUAAUGACGGUACCUGAAGAAUAAGCACCGGCUAACUACGUG
rnacentral:rRNA from 1 species